rnacentral:rRNA from 1 species
GACGAACGCUGGCGGCGCGCCUAACACAUGCAAGUCGAACGGAGUCACGAGGAGCUUGCUUUUCUUGACUUAGUGGCGAACGGGUGAGUAACGCGUGAGUAACCUGCCCUGGAGUGGGGGACAACAGUUGGAAACGACUGCUAAUACCGCAUAAGCCCACGGAUCCGCAUGGUUCUGCGGGAAAAGGAUUUAUUCGCUUCAGGAUGGACUCGCGUCCACUUAGCUAGUUGGUGAGGUAACGGCCCACCAAGGCGACGAUUGGUAGCCGGACUGAGAGGUUGAACGGCCACAUUGGGACUGAGACACGGCCCAGACUCCUACGGGAGGCAGCAGUGGGGGAUAGUGCACAAUGGGGGAAACCCUGAUGCAGCGACGCCGCGUGGAGGAAGAAGGUUUUCGGAUUGUAAACUCCUGUCGUUAGGGACGAUAAUGACGGUACCUAACAAGAAAGCACCGGCUAACUACGUG